GCAGUUUCCAAGAAUCUAUGGACAAAUGAGGACUUACUGUGUAUAUACACACACAAUAUACAGGCCCAUAUGUAAUUUAUAUAUGUAUAUACAUAGUUAUUCUUUUUUAUUUUUUACUCAAGUUACAUUUAAUAUCUUUAUCACAGGAAGGCUGGCAAUAUAAAACUUCCUAUGUACGAAAACUCAAAAAUAACCAAAGUGGCAAGUGAAUAAUUCCUUUGAGAAGCAAAAGAACAGUACAAUGUUUAUUAACACGUUUCUUCCUGAAUUUUCUUCAAUUUUUUUAAACACACAAAAAGCUUUUCUGUACUUAGAUUGCUGUUUGCUGUUUUUAAUGUUGUUAACAUGCAUAUUAUUGCAUUUAUGGAUAGUAGUAGAUAGUGUAAUAUACAUGAAACCAACAUCUAGGGAUGGCUGCCUUCUGAGUGCUUUACAGAUGGCACGUUCUCUUAUUAUCCAGCUUAAUCACAGCUCCUCCAACUGAUAACUUCACAUCAUCUGCAGUAUUUCCAAUCUGUAAAUCUGGUUGGCACAAGUUGGUUUUAGCGUAUUUGGAACCGUAUUUUAAAUCACUGGAACUACUUUGCCUUAAUGCCCAUGGGCUGUCAGCUCCCAAGGGCUAAGACCAAGUUUUUCUUAACUUUGUGCAUAUAGCGUGGGACCUGCCCAGAACAGGUACUCAACAAUUUUGCUGAGCAGAACUGUCCUCAAUGGAGAAAAGAAAGGAGAAAGGCUUUACUGAAGACUGCCCCAAAUACAAACAAAUUCCAUUUUAAAUGGAAUAUAUACACUUUAGCCCCCAAAUGCAGACCAGUGCACGUCUGUGUAGUUUCCGACUAGUCACCUGGUAAUAGAUCAUUCCUGUCAUUCACAGGCUCAGUCCCAGCUCUAUUUUUCAGUAUCUUGAAUCAAGUUCUCUCUCCUCUAAUCAUGGAAGAAAUAGACCCAUAACUAGUUAUUUUGGGUAAAUGGGAGCUAUUUAAAAAAUUGAUAUUUUAAAAGCUUAAAUGAAAUGUUAAUCAAAUAUGAUUUAUGAUUAUUUUCUUUCUAUGAGUAUUCUUUAAUUGUGGAAGGCAGUUUCUUAGGAAGGGAACAAGGGUUCUCUUUUACAACCAAAAGUUUGGUGGUGGUUUUUUUUUUCACAAAAUUAUUGAGUUUAAAAAAAUUGAUGGUUGUUUUGCAUUUCACCUAGUAGCUUAUUCAAUGGUUUGUUUUUCUGCUAAAUGUUAACCGUCAAAACUUGAAUUAAUUUCUUAAUUGCUAUUUCUACUUCAGGAAUCUUAAGAAAGAUGGCUUAACCCAGUCAGAAGGGACAAGCAUAAUUUUCUUCCAUGGCUAUUUAAAGCCAACUGGGAGCCGGGAUGGGAAACUACUAAAGUUUGAUGCACCAGACUUUGGCCUGAUGCGCUCUCAGCAAAAUGUACAGAGGAGAUGGCCACUUGGUCUUUGGGAGCCCCUGGCUCUCUCUUUUUAAUGACACUAGCUGCUCUUAGCGCCCACUACAGGAAAUGAAGCAAUGGAAGAAGCGCACCUCAUGUGAAAGCAUUUGGAUUUUGCUAGGCUAUUUUCUGAGUAGUAUUUGUCCCGUGGAAAAAUACAGAAGAGGAAAUGAUCUUAGUUAUUCAUGUCUUCAUUCUCCACAUUUGCUCUAUGUUUGGCCUGUGCCAGGGUUGUAGGAGAUGUCGAAAAAGCUCAGAUUCUGCCAAGCAAGGAGUCUGUGACAUCCUCGUGGUUAACAAGUAGGAAGUGACAAAUCCCUGAGGGGAGAUGUGAGGGCCUGCAGUUCCACGAGGGAGCGUUUGCCCAGGGGGUUCAGGGACAUCCUGGUGGUGGUGUCUUCGCUCUCCAGACAGACUCCUUCUAAACACCAUAAAGAAGAGGGCCUGGCCAGGCGCGGUGGCUCACACCUGUAAUCCCAGCACUUUUGGAGGCCGAGAAGAGCAGAUCACGAGGUCAGGAGAUCGAGACCAUCCUGGCUAAUAUGGUGAAACCCCGUCUCUACUAAAAAUACAAAAAAAUUAGCUGGUCAUGAUGGUGGGCGCCUGUGGUCCCAGCUACUUGGGAGGCUGAGGCAGGAGAAUGGCAUGAACUCAGGAGGCGGAGCUUGCAGUGAGCUGAGACCGCACCACUGCACUCCAGCCUGGGCAACAGAGCAAGAGUCCAUCUCAAAAAAAAAGAAGAGGGCCUUGCCAUGCCCUUCUGUGCCUCCCCACACCUCUUGCAUGGGGUGACAGAUUCACCAGAGGCAUACAGUAUGGGUAAUUAAAUGGGCUUAGCUCAAGUUGGAGAAGAACUAUUGCUAACCUCUUUGUGUUUGGGUUAGGUGGCUAUUAUCUACUUAAUAAAAUAAUGUUGAAAAAGCAGGGCCCACUGGGACUGAUGGGGGUGCCGUUCACAAUGUUCACAAUGUAUUAUAAGUGAACAAUGCCCCCACAUGUGGGCAGCAUGGCCCGCUCUUCCAGAAGAGUAAGUCACAGCCAAUGUGAAGUGACUCAAGAGUAUACAAAGACUGCUCCUUACUUCUUUUUGACAAGGAACUUCCACAAGUAGAAAACUCAAGGAUUCCUUUGAGCCUUAACAGCUAUUUGGUCCUUCAGAAUACAUAUUAAAAUGCAAAUGUCAGCCGGGCGCGGUGGCUCACGCCUGUAAUCCCAGCACUUUCGGAGGCCGAGGCGGGCGGAUCAUGAGCUCAAGAGAUCAAGACCAUCCUGGCCAACAUGGUGAAACCCCGUCACUACUAAAAAUACAAAAAUUAGCUGGGCAUGGUGGUGUGUGCCUAUAGUCCCAGCUAUUCAGGAGACUGAGGCAGGAGAAUCACUUGAACCCAGGAGGUAGAGGUUGCAGUGAGCCAAGAUCGCGCCACUGCAGGCGACAGAGAGAGAUUCUAUCUCAAAGAAAAAAUAAUAAUAAUAAAUAAAUAAAAUGCAAAUGUCUCCUAGGACAGAGCAGUAUUUUGUCUUAGGGACAGGAAGGAUUAUCUGACAACUAAGUAGAAGCAAGGAUGGCUGGAAGAGAGAGGGGCAUGAUCCAGAAAAGGGCAGUGGUGGCCAGGAUCAUCACAGCUUGAUCUUUAUGAUAAUCUAGUUUGCUUCUCUUUUGUAAAAGGUGAAUGUGAUGAUCCAGGAAGUUAGAUAAUUUGCAAUCUCCCACAACCUGGAAAUUCUUUCUCUGGAGCCCUUGGUAAUGAUAAUAGCAAUAAUAAUGAUGAUAGUUAACAUUUCUUGAACUCUUGCUAUGUGAAAGGCACAGUUAGGCUCUUUAUACAUAUUAGCUUAUUUAAUUGCUCAUGAUGUCCUUAUGGUGUAGGUAAUAAUAUUUUUCUCAUUUUUACAGAUGAGGAGACUGACCUACAGAGAGGUAAAGUCCCUUGGCAAGGUCUCAUAGCUAGUGAGGGAAAGAAGAAUGUGUCACUUGAGGGAAAGACAGGAAGCCAUUGCCCCUGCAUACUGUUGUGUGAGCAAAGGCACUGAGGUGGGACAAGAAAGGAUAAGAUUUAAGAAGAGACAUCCUAAUAUCCAGAUAUGUUACAUUAUUAGCAUUGCUGCAGGAACUGCUGAAAAAGAUACAGUCAAGCAAGGGUGCUGGGGGUGGGGGUGGGGAGGUAGGUUUGCUAAUGCUUACUUAAUAGCCAGGAACAAACAGUAGCUAGGAAGAGGCACUGGGUCAGUGUGCCUGCCAAGAACAGUAGAGGAUGAACUCAUGUGGAUGGGUAUGCAGGAGUAUUUCCCACAGUCCUUUGAUUUGAGACCACCGGCUGCUGUCAUAUUUGGAGUAAUUGUGGUGUAAGGCACACUGGACUGAGAGUCAGGAGACCUGGGUGUGACUCAUGGUUUUGCUGCUAAUGAUCUGUGUGACCUUGGGGGAAGUCACUUAACUUCUCCAGACCUCAGUUUCUUCAUCUACAAAAUAAGGGAAUUACUAACACUCUUUCAGUUCUGGAAUUCUAAUUCUAAAGUAAAUCUUCUGCAGAGCAAGUCUGUUUGUCUUCCUUAAACUUAAAAUGGAAUUUAUUUUAAAAGCAGAUGGUUCCGGCACUGGAACCAUUCUCCCACAAUUCCUUUCAAUGACACAUCUAUAGAGCUAUAGUUAUAAAUUCCUUUGAAAACCAAUGGGCUUUUUGACAUGAGUGUCAGUAAAGAUCAAAUCAAAU
rnacentral:lncRNA from 1 species